GAUGAACGCUGGCGGCGUGCCUAAUACAUGCAAGUCGAGCGAACAGACGAGGAGCUUGCUCCUCUGACGUUAGCGGCGGACGGGCGAGUAACACGUGGAUAACCUACCUAUAAGACUGGGAUAACUUCGGGAAACCGGAGCUAAUACCGGAUAAUAUAUUGAACCGCAUGGUUCAAUAGUGAAAGACGGUUUUGCUGUCACUUAUAGAUGGAUCCGCGCCGCAUUAGCUAGUUGGUAAGGUAACGGCAUACCCAGGCAACGAUGCGUAGCCGACCUGAGAGGGUGAUGGGCCCCACUGGAACUGAGACACGGUCCAGACUCCCACGGGAGGCAGCAGUAGUGAAUCUUCCGCAGUGGGCGACGGCCUGAAGGAGCAGCGCCGCGUGAGUGAUGAAGGUCUUCGGAUCGUACAACUCUGUUAUUGGGGAAGAACAAAUGUGUAAGUGACUAUGCACGUCUUGACGGUACCUCAUCAGAAAGCCACGGCUAACUACGUG
rnacentral:rRNA from 1 species